CGGCCAUCGGGGAUGCUGGGUCUGCGCAGGUCUGGACAGAACCCAGACCACGGAGGCACCGCUGGCCUCAGGAAAGUUACCUGCUGUCCGGGAAAGCCAGAAAGCCUCAGCCCCACGUUCUUGGUAUCAGGGAAGGUGGACACAGGCCAGACGCAGAAGGAAAACCCAGGCUCGGCCAGUCUGAGCAUGGGUCCCUGUUUCUAGCUGCCUGUGUCCAGGCCACCCUGAUACUCUGGCUUCCGGGAUGCAUGAGUGUCCCACCUGGAUGAAUGAGCACACGCAGGAGCAUUCCCUGAGGAGAUUCCUGGAUCUGAGAACCAGGUGUGUGUGUGGGAGGGGGGAACAGGUACUUUUCCUCUUGUCAUCACAGAUGGC